rnacentral:rRNA from 1 species
UACGAAGGGGGCUAGCGUUGCUCGGAAUCACUGGGCGUAAAGGGUGCGUAGGCGGGUCUUUAAGUCAGGGGUGAAAUCCUGGAGCUCAACUCCAGAACUGCCUUUGAUACUGAGGAUCUGGAGUAUGGAAGAGGUGAGUGGAACUGCGAGUGUAGAGGUGAAAUUCGUAGAUAUUGGGAAGAACACCGGUGGCGAAGGCGGCUAUCUGGACCGCAACUGACGCUGAGGCGCGAAAGCGUGGGGAGCAAACAGG